GUGGGAAAUAUUGGACAAUGGGCGAAAGCCUGAUCCAGCCAUGCCGCGUGUGUGAAGAAGGUCUUCGGAUUGUAAAGCACUUUAAGUUGGGAGGAAGGGCAGUAAGUUAAUACCUUGCUGUUUUGACGUUACCAACAGAAUAAGCACCGGCUAACUUCGUGCCAGCAGCCGCGGUAAUACGAAGGGUGCAAGCGUUAAUCGGAAUUACUGGGCGUAAAGCGCGCGUAGGUGGUUCAGCAAGUUGGAGGUGAAAUCCCCGGGCUCAUACUGGGAACUGCCUCCAAAACUACUGAGCUAGAGUACGGUAGAGGGUAGUGGAAUUUCCUGUGUAGCGGUGAAAUGCGUAGAUAUAGGAAGGAACACCAGUGGCGAAGGCGACUACCUGGACUGAUACUGACACUGAGGUGCGAAAGCGUGGGGAGCAAACAGGAUUAGAAACCCUAGUAGUCC
rnacentral:rRNA from 1 species